UGUGUAUCAGAACAAAUUCAAAUGGCACACUGACAGCAGUCUGCUCUUUAAAUAUCUAGGUAUAUUGCUAGACCCCAAUCUAUCCUUUGGCCUUCACUUUAAAAAAAAUCUCUUCAAAACGUUACCCAAAACUAGGUACCCUGUACAGAAACAAAUCCUGACUAAGCCCUACAGUAAGGAAAUAGAUAGUGCAACAAAUGCUAAUGCCGGU